rnacentral:tmRNA from 1 species
GGGGCUGAUCUGGAAUUGACAGCAUGGCAAAGUGGUAUGUAAGCAUGUCGAGCGUUGUGAUACUGGCUCGUAAAUCCCGGUUCUCAACUUUUUUAAUUGGCGAAAAUAAUUACGCUCUUGCAGCUUAAUCGAAGUAUAGUAGAUAAGCUAUAUUCCCGCUCAAGGUAGCAGGAACAAGACAUCUCCCGGGUGCUAGCGUCUUGAGGCGGCCCGAUCCGGAGGUGCAGAAAAUCGAGACUAGGAAAUAACAAGCCUUGGGUUGUUUCCGAAAUUAAAAGGAUAAGGUAACAGUCGGUGGCUUUGAUCCAGCCGUUACUCGAAAAUCAAGUCAAAGCUAAACAUGUAGAAAGCAUAUGGCUUCCUUGUCUGGACCGGGGUUCGAUUCCCCGCAGCUCCACUU